UAGGGAAUCUUCGGCAAUGGACGAAAGUCUGACCGAGCAACGCCGCGUGAGUGAAGAAGGUUUUCGGAUCGUAAAACUCUGUUGUUAGAGAAGAACAAGGACGUUAGUAACUGAACGUCCCCUGACGGUAUCUAACCAGAAAGCCACGGCUAACUACGUGCCAGCAGCCGCGGUAAUACGUAGGUGGCAAGCGUUGUCCGGAUUUAUUGGGCGUAAAGCGAGCGCAGGCGGUUUCUUAAGUCUGAUGUGAAAGCCCCCGGCUCAACCGGGGAGGGUCAUUGGAAACUGGGAGACGUGAGUGCAGAAGAGGAGAGUGGAAUUCCAUGUGUAGCGGUGAAAUGCGUAGAUAUAUGGAGGAACACCAGUGGAGAAGGCGGCUCUCUGGUCUGUAACUGACGCUGAGGCUCGAAAGCGUGGGGAGCAAACAGG
rnacentral:rRNA from 1 species